CGAACGCUGGCGGCGUGCUUAACACAUGCAAGUCGAACGGAAAGGCCCUGCUUUUGUGGGUGCUCGAGUGGCGAACGGGGGAGGAACACGUGAGUAACCUGCCCUUUACUUUGGGAUAAAUUCAGGAAACUGGGGCUAAUACCGGAUAGGAGCUCCUGCUGCAUGGGGGGGGUUGGAAAGUUUCGGCGGUUGGGGAUGGACUCGCGGCUUAUCAGCUUGUUGGUGGGGUAGUGGCUUACCAAGGCUUUGACGGGUAGCCGGCCUGAGAGGGUGACCGGCCACAUUGGGACUGAGAUACGGCCCAGACUCCUACGGGAGGCAGCAGUGGGGAAUAUUGCACAAUGGGCGGAAGCCUGAUGCAGCAACGCCGCGUGCGGGAUGAUGGCCUUCGGGUUGUAAACCGCUUUCGCCUGUGACGAAGCGUGAGUGACGGUAAUGGGUAAAGAAGCACCGGCUAACUACGUG
rnacentral:rRNA from 1 species